UUGGAGGGCAAGUCUGGUGCCAGCAGCCGCGGUAAUUCCAGCUCCAAUAGCGUAUAUUAAAGUUGUUGCAGUUAAAAAGCUCGUAGUUGAAUUUCGGGGUUAGUAGGUUGGUCAUGCCUCUGGUAUGUACUGGUCUCACUGAUUCCUCCUUCCUUAUGAACCGUAAUGCCAUUAAUUUGGUGUUGCGGGGAAUUUGGACUGUUACUUUGAAAAAAUUAGAGUGUUUAAAGCAAGCUAACGCUUGAAUACAUUAGCAUGGAAUAAUGAAAUAGGACGUUCGAUCUUAUUUUGUUGGUUUCUAGGAUUGACGUAAUGAUUAAUAGGGAUAGUUGGGGGCAUUAGUAUUCAAUCGUCAGAGGUGAAAUUCUUGGAUUUAUUGAAGACUAACUACUGCGAAAGCAUUUGCCAAGGAUGUUUUCAUUAAUCAAGAACGAAAGUUAGGGGAUCGAAGACGAUCAGAUACCGUCGUAGUCUUAACCAUAAACUAUGCCGACUAGGGAUCGGAUGAUGUUAAUUUUUUAAUGACUCAUUCGGCGCCUUACGGGAAAC
rnacentral:rRNA from 1 species